ensembl:lncRNA
AAGAUAGGAAAAGCUCUUGGCCACAUGGAUGCCAAAGGUUCUGACUAAAAUUUUCUGCAUCAGCAAAUUCAGGCAUCUCACUUCCUGGCCUGGAUCCCAAUGCAGUUGUGGCAUGGAGAAGCUGCCUUGUGCAGAUGGGCCAGAAACACUGCUCUGCAGGAAUGAAUUUAGGGAGGGAAGGAGGCCACAUCCCUGAGUCACUGGAGGGAGUAGAGGAGAAACAACCCUAGUGCUGUAUCUUGUGGUUUUACACAACUCAGCUUAAAAACAAGAAAACAAGCUCUCUGGAAAAUGGGAGGGAUUUGGCAAGCCCCUUAAACUUCAGGAACAUUAUGUUCCUUCCAGCAUGUCUUGAAUAACGGAAGUGGAGGGCUUUGGGGGAGGGAAGAAGCAGACAGAGUGGCUGGAAACAUCAUUUUUUUUUCCCUGUUAAACAAGCUCAGCCUGGAAAUUAACAUGGAAGAAAUUCAGGAUGAUUUAUACACACCUAAGACAGCCUCACGUAUAUACAUGGCCCUUCCCAAUUAAGGACAAUUAAACAAGGACAACGACUCCCCAAAGCUGUUGGUUUCCAAAGAAAGGAAUGCCAGGGAUGGCCUCGCCUUGAGAAUGCUCUGCAAAAAUGGCAAGAUCUCAAGCAUGCCCCUUAGGAGAAGGGGACUCUCUGCUCUGCCCCAGACCCAAGUUAAGGGAUCCAAUUUUUCUCUGGCACAGAGUUUUCUUUCAGUCAAUUAGAGGCUGCCCUCCCCAAAAGAAUCCAACAGGGCAUUUUAGAGAAGCAUCAUGGGAAUUUCCUAAGAGAUGGGUUGGAGGGGGCUGUGACGUGUCAGUUUUCUGCCUCUGAUCUAGAGGCACAGCUUAUACAGGCACAGUGAUUCUGAGUAACCAGGGAAGACGCAGCUGAACCAAAGCUGGAGGGUGUUUAACAUAGUCCUGUAGGAGGAGAAAAGGGCACACUUCUUCAAAAUGUCUACACAUAACAAGGCCAAAAUUUUCUUAAUUUCUUUGAGUAUGGCCACUUUUGUGGUUAUGGUGGUGUUGAAUGGUGGAGCAGGUUCUGGAGCAUUCAAAGGUAUAUUCCAGAGAACUGUUGGAAACAUCUCCAACAAGUACAACACCGACUUGACCCCAGCUGGCUGGACCUUUUUAAUUUGGAAUGUCAUCUAUUUGUGGCAGUUAGCAUGGCUCGGAUAUGCCCUAUCUGGAAUCUGCAGAAGGAAUGAACUUGGAUGGUUCUACGUGAAACCAGAUGUCCUGCCAACUCCAUUUUACUUGGUAUGGAUCCUGAAUAAUAUCUUGAAUGUCGGAUGGCUCUUUCUGUGGGACAAUGAAUGUCUCAGCCCUGCCCUGCUUGUCCUCACAAUGCUCACAGGUUCCAAUUAUAUGAUUCUCUUCUUGGCUUGUCGAGGUCUCUAUUCCCAUAGAACUUGGCUCCAGAGUCACCACAGGAUGGACCUAUGGCUCUUCUGCAUUCUGGUGCAGAAUGGAAUUUCGCUUUAUGCUACAUGGACCACAGUGGCAAUACUAUUGAACUUUGCAGUUGUAUUGAUAUAUACUGUAGGGGUGGCCAACCAAACUUCCACUACUGUGGCUCUGUCUAUUCUUCUUCUUCUACUGGUACUUUGGUUUUACCUAGAAAACUUCCUCCUGGAUAAGCAUGUCCGUUACAUCCUCACUGUGUACCCGGUGGUCAUGGUUGCAUUGUCUGGCAAUAUUGCUCAGCACUAUAAUACAACUGCUCCUAGUGGAAACAACGUCUUUGCAGUUGUCCUGAUGAUUGUGACAAAUGAGUGAGUCGCUGUUCACAGGGGCAGGAAGAAGAGGAAGGAACCUCAAAGAUGUUGAAGAUGAUCUCAGGAAAGGAAGUUACAGAACUCAGGAGAUGGAGGAAGAACACCUUGCUAUGAGGUCAUUCUGAUUGUGGAGAAGACACUAAGGAUGAUUGCCUUAAAGCCACAGGAAAAGGAAAUAUGAAUGAAUGAAAUCAAUUUAUUCAACCUUUACUAUGCAUUAACUACUAUGCUAAGCAUUGGGCAUACAAAUACAGAAGAGAGACUUAUCUUUGUCCUCAUAUAACUUUUAAGGUGAAAACAAAGCAUACAAAAGAGUAGUGGCCAGGGAAGAAUGUUUUAGCCUAAGAAAUUGAAGAAAUGACAUACAAAGCCAUAGAGAGGAAUCAAAUGACAUACUCUUUAAAAAUCAAUUUUAUUUUUCAAUAAACAGGCUCUUUUCUAUUUCCCCA